GUUAAAACAGCAAAUGGUGUAGUUGUGUGAGUGCAAUACCAUCUCCACCCAGCUGGCACGUGGCUCACAGAAAAUCAAGCACACCCGUCUCUCCCACUCAGGCCUUCAGGAGCCUAUAAAGCAACUCAGCACACCUGUGUUUGAGAUAAUCUCUACAAACAAAGACCUCAUCUUCAAGCUCCUGCAGAACACCACUGGUUUUCAACCUGCUCAGGUGUCAUGAAAGAACAGUGAUUUAAAGAAAAGAAAAGAGAAAUAAAAUAAAAAGAUGACACUGA